CCUACGGGUGGCAGCAGUGAGGAAUAUUGGUCAAUGGGCGCGAGCCUGAACCAGCCAAGUAGCGUGCAGGAAGACGGCCCUAUGGAUUGUAAACUUCUUUUAUCCGGGAGUAAAAGACGCCACGCGUGGCGUUCCGUAAGUACCCCAUGAAUAAGCACCGGCUAAUUCCGUGCCAGCAGCCGCGGUAAUACGGAAGGUUCGGGCGUUAUCCGGAUUUAUUGGGUUUAAAGGGUGCGUAGGCCGCCUGUUAAGCGAGCCGUGAAAGCCCCGGGGCCAACCCUGGCAGAGCGGUUGAAACUGGCGGGCUGGAGUUGGAGAGAAGUACGCGGAAUGCGCGGUGUAGCGGUGAAAUGCUUAGAUAUCGCGCAGAACCCCGAUUGCGAAGGCAGCGUACGGGAGCCACACUGACGCUGAGGCUCGAAGGCGUGGGUAUCGAACAGGAUUAGAUACCCGGGUAGUC
rnacentral:rRNA from 1 species